rnacentral:lncRNA from 1 species
UAGAGGCAUUUAAAUUUUGGAAGAAUCAUUUCGCUUUCAUUGCUUGUUGGAGCAGCUUGUUGGAGGUGGACAAUACGUUAAAACACGCUUAGCACUCGAAGUUUGUUGUAAAAAUGGAAGACGACGUUGCGGCUUUAGUUGUUGAUAAUGGAUCGGGUAUGUGCAAAGCUGGUUUCGCCGGCGACGAUGCACCAAGAGCUGUUUUCCCCUCCAUCGUCGGUCGUCCUCGCCAUCAAGGUGUGAUGGUUGGUAUGGGCCAGAAAGAUUCGUAUGUUGGCGACGAGGCCCAAAGCAAAAGAGGUAUCCUUACCUUGAAAUACCCCAUCGAACACGGCAUCGUCACAAACUGGGACGAUAUGGAGAAGGUAAGUUUUUGUGCUUUGUUUUAAGUUGUCGUUUUCGCUUCGGCUUGUGGGUAACGCCCAUUCUAUUCGUUUUAGAUUUGGCACCAUACGUUUUACAACGAACUCCGAGUGGCACCAGAAGAACACCCCGUCCUCCUUACAGAAGCUCCCUUAAACCCGAAAGCCAACCGAGAAAAAAUGACACAGGUAUGAAAAUGUACACAAUUAAUAGCCAUAUUUGUACUUCUGUAGACUCACGACAAAAUUGCGUCACAGCCGCCUAGUUUCUCCUUCUGAUGUCAAGUAUUUUAUCUAAGAGACCAGGAUAUUCGUAUAUAUAUACCCCUAAUUUUAAGUUCCGAAAUCCCUGCAUUGAAGAUGUGUUAUUUGUUUUCCACGAGUCCUGUUAUUAAUAAAAAAUGUUCGUGGUUCGUUUAACCUGCAUGGUCUUUUGAAGAUAUGCUUGCUUUUAAUUCAUUUUAAAACAAAAAUUUAACGUGCCCUGGAACGAUUGGCACUGUAAACAUUUUUUAAUUUUUUAUGUUUUUAAUUUUUACAGAUCAUGUUUGAAACCUUCAACACCCCAGCUAUGUAUGUGGCCAUCCAGGCUGUGUUGUCCCUGUAUGCUUCUGGUCGUACCACAGGAAUCGUGUUCGACAGCGGUGAUGGUGUCUCCCACACUGUACCAAUCUAUGAAGGUUAUGCCUUGCCUCAUGCUAUCCUUCGUCUUGAUUUGGCUGGCCGUGAUCUUACAGAUUACCUCAUGAAAAUCUUGACGGAGAGAGGUUACUCGUUCACCACAACCGCUGAACGAGAAAUCGUCCGUGAUAUCAAAGAGAAAUUGGCCUAUGUCGCAUUGGACUUUGAACAAGAAAUGGACACUGCUGCAAGCAGUUCGAGCUUGGAGAAGGCCUACGAGCUUCCUGACGGUCAGGUUAUCACCAUCGGUAACGAGAGAUUCCGAUGCCCAGAAGCACUCUUCCAACCAUCAUUCCUUGGAAUGGAAUCUGCUGGUAUCCAUGAAACCUGUUACAACUCCAUCAUGAAAUGCGACGUCGAUAUCAGGAAAGAUUUGUAUGCUAACACCGUGUUGUCUGGUGGUUCUACUAUGUUCCCUGGUAUUGCCGAUAGGAUGCAGAAAGAAAUCACCGCUCUCGCUCCACCUACGAUGAAAAUCAAGGUGAUUGCUCCUCCAGAAAGGAAAUACUCUGUCUGGAUUGGUGGCUCCAUCCUGGCUUCCCUUUCGACCUUCCAGCAGAUGUGGAUCUCGAAACAGGAAUACGACGAGUCUGGACCAUCUAUUGUUCACAGGAAGUGCUUCUAAACUUUUGGACACAUAGUGACUUUCUAAUCACAAUAACAAUAGCGGUUUAACGUAAUUUGGUUGUAAAAUUUAUAAUGUGUCCAGAAAUGGAACCAAAUUGUUUAUAUUUUUUGGACGAGAGUGUUUAAAUGUCUGUACAGGUCAACAAGUAAUUCAUGCAAAACUUCAAAAAUUCGCAUUUAAUAAAAAAAGUUAAAAUUUUCUAAAUCUGUUGUCAAC